rnacentral:lncRNA from 1 species
AAGGAGACCCAGCUUGGCUGGGGGCAGUAGGCAGGGGGCCCCGGGGUAAGUCAGCCAGGCCUGGAUGCUGCCUCCAGGCUUUAUGUGGGACACCUGCCAGCCCACACCCCUCUCUUGGGCCAGUCACAGAACAAAUAGGGCAGAGGCCAAGAAAGAAAAGGAGGGGGCUUGGCAUAGCUGGACAGGGGUGCUGGGGGACACUGCCAGUCCAGGGCCCGGAAGCCAGACAGACAACAGCACCUCCACCCUGAGCUCAGGCAGCCCUGAUCCCUGAAGGGUGGAGUAAACUCAACAUUCAAAGAGAUAGAAACAUAAGCCCUGGGCACCACAGAAAGACGACAGAAACCAGGAGAGGCUGGGAUACACCUAGGUCCAACUUCAUCAAACCCAGUCCUGCCCAUGACAACGGAAUAGCAUGGAAUAGACCAGAGCUGGACCAACUAGAGACACGAGGCAAGAGGAUCCACUGUGCUGCGAGGUCCCCCAUGGACUCUGCCAGGCUGCAGUUGGCCAGAAAGCAAUGAAGGACCACCAAGGACCGUCGGGCUGCUGCAAGGAUUA